UGUAAUUUCCACUAUGACUGUGUUAACUGCCAGCCACAGGUAAAGUUGAGUACUAUGUGGUAGGUGCAGUGAUGGGUACCUGAAAGAAUCAAAGACAAGGAGGACAACUGGGACAUUCAGACCAAUCAGAGGAGCAAAUAUUUACCAAGCCUGGAUUCUGCGCGUAGCAUUGUAUGCAGAUGGUAAUGGUGUCACAGACCUCAGAGUGCUGGCCUGGAUGGGGAAUGGGGAGAAAGGAUGCAGCAGACCUGAUUUGAAUGACUUGGUGCCACAUUGCAGCUGUUGCCUCAGUGAAUCACUACCUCUCUGAGCUUCAGUUUCCUCAUCAUACAGGAAAGGAUCCGAGCACAGACCCUGGAGAGGGAUGUGAGAGUGAGACCUAGUGUACAUCAGUCAGGCCUACAGCCAGAAAAAACCCAGGAUCUUCCCCAUAAUUUCCUGCAGCCUCCACACUCCCGAGAAGCAGCAGAAGGGAGAAGACAUGGAGCUGCUUCAGGCCGACA